CUCAGGACAGUCGCUGAAAUCACUGAAUGCCUCCUCAGGUCAUUUAGCACUUAUUUUAUCCAGUAUCUUUGGGCUCCUUCUCCUGGUUCUGUUUAUUCUAUUUCUCACGUGGUGCCGAGUUCAGAAACAAAAACAUCUGCCCCUCAGAGGUGAGAGCCCCACUAGGAUUGUAUAAAAUUUUCAACCAGAAGGAGGGGUUCUCUCGAGGAGAAUUUAUUCCAUGAGAUGGAGACCUGCCUCAAGAGAGAGGACCCACAUGGGACAAGAACCUCAGAUGACACCCCCAACCAUGGUUGUGAAGAUGCUAGCGACACAUCGCUGUUGGGAGUUCUUCCUGCCUCUGAAGCCACAAAAUGACUUUAGACUUCCAGGGCUCACCAGAUCAACCUCUAAAUAUCUUUGAAGGAGACAACAACUUUUAAAUGAAUAAAGAGGAAGUCAAGUUGCCCUAUGGAAAACUUGUCCAAAUA
rnacentral:lncRNA from 10 species